UACGUAGGGUGCAAGCGUUCAUCGGAAUUACUGGGCGUAAAGCGUGCGCAGGCGGUUAUGUAAGACAGUUGUGAAAUCCCCGGGCUCAACCUGGGAACUGCAUCUGUGACUGCAUUGCUGGAGUGCGGCAGAGGGGGAUGGAAUUCCGCGUGUAGCAGUGAAAUGCGUAGAUAUGCGGAGGAACACCGAUGGCGAAGGCAAUCCCCUGGGCCUGCACUGACGCUCAUGCACGAAAGCGUGGGGAGCAAACAGG
rnacentral:rRNA from 1 species